rnacentral:rRNA from 1 species
CCUACGGGAGGCAGCAGUGGGGAAUAUUGCACAAUGGGGGAAACCCUGAUGCAGCGACGCCGCGUGAGUGAAGAAGUAUUUCGGUAUGUAAAGCUCUAUCAGCAGGGAAGAAAUAGCGACCUUUGGGUCGCCAGACGGUACCUGAUUAAGAAGCCCCGGCUAACUACGUGCCAGCAGCCGCGGUAAUACGUAGGGGGCAAGCGUUAUCCGGAUUUACUGGGUGUAAAGGGAGCGUAGGCGGACAGUCAAGUCAGCGGUAAAAAUGCGGUGCUCAACGCCGUACAGCCGUUGAAACUGGCAGUCUUGAGUGGGCGAGAAGUAUGCGGAAUGCGUGGUGUAGCGGUGAAAUGCAUAGAUAUCACGCAGAACUCCGAUUGCGAAGGCAGCAUACCGGCGCCCGACUGACGCUGAGGCACGAAAGCGUGGGGAUCGAACAGGAUUAGAUACCCGAGUAGUC